ACGCUCGACACCUACGGGGGGCAGCAGUCGGGAAUAUUGCGCAAUGGAGGAAACUCUGACGCAGUGACGCCGCGUAUGGGAAGAAGGUUUUCGGAUUGUAAACCAUUUUAGACAAGGAAGAAACAAGACAGUACUUGUAGAAUAAGCUCCGGCUAACUACGUGCCCGCAGCCGCGGUAAUCUGAGCGGGCUGGCAAGGC
rnacentral:rRNA from 1 species